AAGUCAGAUGUGAAAGCCUUCUGUUCAACGGAAGAAUUGCAUCUGAAACUGCAGAUCUUGAGUAUAGGAGGGGAGAAUGGAACUUCUGGUGGAGCGGUGAAAUGCGUAGAUAUCAGAAGGAACGCCGGCGGCGAAAGCGAUUCUCUGGCCUAUUACUGACACUCAGUGUGCGAAAGCUAGGGGAGCAAACGGGAUUAGAUACCCCGGUAGUCCUAGCCGUAAACGAUGGGCACUAAGUAGAGGGAAUUACCGAUGUUCUCUCUGCCGUAGCUAACGCAUUAAGCGCCCCGCCUGGGGAGUACGGCCGCAAGGCUAAAACUCAAAAGAAUUGACGGGGGCUCGCACAAGCGGUGGAGCAUGUGGCUUAAUUCGAUGCAACGCGAAAAACCUUACCGGGGCUUGACAUGGUAGAAGUAGGAACCCGAAAGGGUAACGAACGGUAUCCAGUCCGUAGCUAUUACAGGUGUUGCAUGGCUGUCGUCAGCUCGUGUCGUGAGACGUUGGGUUAAGUCCCCUAACGAGCGAAACCCUUGUUUUUAGUUACCAGCGGGUUAUACCGGGUACUCUAGAAAGACUGCCGUCGUCAAGACGGAGGAAGGUGGGGAUGACGUCAAGUCAUCAUGGCCCUUAUGCCCCGGGCUGCACACGUGCUACAAUGGUCGGUACAAACGGAAGCGAAG
rnacentral:rRNA from 1 species